ACUCUUGCUUCUCUUCAGAUAUCGAAUAAAUCUUUCACCUUUUACUAAAGAUUUCCGUGGAGAAGAGCGCUCUAAUGAUCAUGAACUCAAUUUUUGGGAUCGGCAUUGUAUUGUGUGUAGAU